rnacentral:rRNA from 1 species
UACGUAGGGUGCGAGCGUUAAUCGGAAUUACUGGGCGUAAAGCGUGCGCAGGCGGUUUUAUAAGCCAGAUGUGAAAGCCCCGGGCUCAACCUGGGAAUGGCAUUUGGGACUGUAAGGCUGGAGUAUGGCAGAGGGGACUAGAAUUCCUGGUGUAGCAGUGAAAUGCGUAGAUAUCAGGAGGAAUACCGAUGGCGAAGGCAGGUCCCUGGGCCAAUACUGACGCUCAUGCACGAAAGCGUGGGGAGCAAACAGG